GUCCACGCCCUAACGAUGUCAACUGGUUGUUGGAGGGUUUCUUCUCAGUAACGUAGCUAACGCGUGAAGUUGACCGCCUGGGAGUACGGCCGCAAGGUUGAAACUCAAAGGAAUUGACGGGACCCGCACAAGCGGUGGAUGAUGUGGUUUAAUUCGACGCAACGCGAAACCUUACCUACCCUUGACAUGUCUGGAAUUUCGCAGAGAUGUGAAAGUGCUCGAAAGAGAACCAGAACACAGGUGCUGCAUGGCCGUCGU
rnacentral:rRNA from 1 species